UGAACCAUACGUCUGAAUAAGGUGCCGAAAUGUACUAUCACUGAUACCAUAAAGGGAGUCCAUGUAUUUAGACAGCAGGUCGGUGCCCCUAAAAGCAGGUAUCCGCUAAAGAGUGUGUUAAAACUCACCUGCCGAAUACUAGGGCCCCGAAAAUGAAUGGCGCAUAUAGUACUACCGAUCUCAGACAUCAGUUCUAUUGAACUGAGAGUAGGGGGAUGUGGACAUUUUUGUGAAGGUGCAAUGUGAGUUGGACUGGAAGAAUGUCUAUUACAGAUCCUAAUUGAAGUAGCGAUUAUCCAGGCUUGUAUCCUGGGGGCUGAUGAGGAGUAGGGUUUCUGGACAACUUAAACAGAUCCAGAGUUAGUCGAUCCUAAUCUCAAUAAUGGGAGAAAGGGAGUACAGUUGAUAUUCUGUAACUGACAACAGUUCGCGGCAACGCAUACUAUUUUUCUCCGCCAAUCUUAUACCGUUGGUAGGGAUCUCUUUCCUACAUGACAGUACUAAUACCCAGGGAAACUGGUCAUCAGGCGAAAUGCGGCGUUCUGCUGGCAAAACAUAGCUUCGGUUAUGUCAAUGGCUAUUGGAUUGGUCCAUGAAGCGAAAAAUAGUUUACUGUGUCACUCGUACCGAUAACCGCAUCAGGUCUUCUAGGUAAGUAGCCUAUGGCCAUUGAGGCAUGAUAGUUCAGGGAAUUCGGCCAAUUAGAGCUGUAACUUCGGGAUAAAGCUUGGCUCUGAUGAAAAUCAGAACCGAUUGUUACGCGGAGAGCCCAACUGUUUAAUAAAAACGUAGUGUCGCGC
rnacentral:ncRNA from 1 species